rnacentral:rRNA from 1 species
UGGGGAAUCUUGGACAAUGGGGGCAACCCUGAUCCAGCCAUGCCGCGUGUGUGAAGAAGGCCCUAGGGUUGUAAAGCACUUUCAGUAGGGAGGAAGGCUUAUCCUUAAUACGGAUGAGUACUUGACGUUACCUACAGAAGAAGCACCGGCUAAUUUCGUGCCAGCAGCCGCGGUAAUACGAAAGGUGCGAGCGUUAAUCGGAAUUACUGGGCGUAAAGCGCGCGUAGGCGGUUUGUUAAGUCAGAUGUGAAAGCCCCGGGCUCAACCUGGGAAUUGCAUUUGAAACUGGCAAGCUAGAGUGCAGUAGAGGGAGGUGGAAUUUCCGGUGUAGCGGUGAAAUGCGUAGAGAU